AUUGAACGCUGGCGGCAGGCCUAACACAUGCAAGUCGAACGGUAACAGGAAGAAGCUUGCUUCUUUGCUGACGAGUGGCGGACGGGUGAGUAAUGUCUGGGAAACUGCCUGAUGGAGGGGGAUAACUACUGGAAACGGUAGCUAAUACCGCAUAACGUCGCAAGACCAAAGAGGGGGACCUUCGGGCCUCUUGCCAUCGGAUGUUCCCAGAUGGGAUUAGCUAGUAGGUGGGGUAACGGCUCACCUAGGCGACGAUCCCUAGAUGGUCUGAGAGGAUGACCAGACAAACUGGAACUGAGACACGGUCCAGACGCCGACGGGAGGGAGCAGUGGGGAAUAUUGCACAAUGGGCGAAAGCAUGAUGCAGCAAUGCCGCGUGUAUGAAGAAGGACUUCGGGUUGUAAAGUACUUUCAGCGGGGAGGAAGGGAGUAAAGUUAAUACCUUUACUCAUUGACGUUACCAGCAGAAGAAGCACCGGCUAACUCCGUG
rnacentral:rRNA from 1 species